UAAGUUUAUGAUCCCAGGCUUUGUCUUACCUCUGAAUGCUCGUAUUGAAAUUGAAAAUGAAUGUACAGCACUUAGGGAAAUGGUAAGUAAGCAACAACACACGAUUCAGGAUUUAGGUGCUGAGUUGGAGGAAGAACGAAAUGCGUCUUCCUCGGCAGCGAAUGAGGCCAUGUCCAUGAUUUUGAGGCUGCAAGGAGAAAAGGCAGAGGUUCAGAUGGAAUUUAAACAAUUCAAGAGGUACACUGAGGAGAAAACGGCGCAUGAUCAGCAGGAGAUUAUGGCGUUGGAGGAUAUAUUAUACAAGAGGGAGCAAACAAUUCAAUCGCUGACUUGUGAGGUGCAAAUGUAUAAGCAUAGAAUGAUGAGUUAUGGGCUAACAGAAUCUGAGGCUGAGGGUGAUUGUGAGACAGAAAAGGGCCGUUUUAG
rnacentral:misc_RNA from 1 species